rnacentral:pre_miRNA from 1 species
CAAGUACUACCUCCGUCCGGAAUUAUUUGUCAUCAAAAUGGAUGUGUCUAGAACUAAAAUACAUCUAGAUACAUCCAUUUCAAUGACAAGUAUUUUCGGACGGAGGGAGUACAAG